rnacentral:rRNA from 1 species
AACGAACGCUGGCGGCGUGGAUUAGGCAUGCAAGUCGAACGAUGUUGGUAGCAAUACCUUCAUAGUGGCGAAAGGGUGAGUAACGCGUGGGUAAUUUACCCCAAGGCUCGGAAUAACACCUCGAAAGAGAUGCUAAUGCCGGAUGUGUUUCGCUUUACACAAGUAGAGCGGAGGAAAGGCGGGGACCCGUAAGGGCCCGUCACCUUAGGAUGAACCCGCGUCCUAUCAGCUUGUUGGUGAGGUAACGGCUCACCAAGGCAAUUGACGGGUAGCUGGUCUGAGAGGAUGGUCAGCCACACUGGGACUGAGACACUGCCCAGACUCCUACGGGAGGCUGCAGUCGAGAAUCUUUCGCAAUGGGGGAAACCCUGACGAAGCGACGCCGCGUGAGCGAUGAAGGCCUUCGGGUUGUAAAGCUCUGUCACGAGGGACGAAAUCUUGAGAUCUAACAGGUCGAUAGUUUGACGGUACCUCGAGAGGAAGCCACGGCUAACUCCGUGCCAGCAGCCGCGGUAAUACGGAGGUGGCAAGCGUUGUUCGGAUUCAUUGGGUGUAAAGGGCAUGUAGGUGGCAUUGUAAGUCGGACGUGAAAUCCCUUGGCUUAACCAAGGAACUGCAUUCGAUACUGCUUUGCUUUGAGUGUAGGAGAGGAGAACGGAAUUCCCGGUGUAAGGGUGAAAUCUGUAGAGAUCGGGAGGAACACCAGUGGCGAAGGCGGUUCUCUGGACUACAACUGACACUGAAAUGCGAAAGCUAGGGGAGCAAACAGGAUUAGAUACCCUGGUAGUCCUAGCCGUAAACGAUGGGUACUAGGUGUGGGCGAGCAAUCGUCCGUGCCGCAGUUAACACGUUAAGUACCCCACCUGGGGACUACGACCGCAAGGUUAAAACUCAAAGGAAUUGACGGGGACCCGCACAAGCGGUGGAGCAUGUGGUUUAAUACGACGCUACGCGUGGAACCUUACCAGGACUUGACAUGUACCUGCAAGCCGCCAGAAACGGUGGCCCUCCCUCAAGGACAGGUACACAGGUGUUGCAUGGCUGUCGUCAGCUCGUGUCGUGAGAUGUUGGGUUAAGUCCCGCAACGAGCGCAACCAUUGUCUUUAGUUGCUAUCCUGCCUAUGGUAGGAGCACUCUAGAGAGACUGCCUGUGUUUAACAGGAGGAAGGUGGAGAUGACGUCAAGUCAGUAUGGCCCUUACGUCCUGGGCUACACACGUGCUACAAUGGCCGGUACAAUGAGGAGCGAGCCCGCAAGGUGGAGCAAAUCUCAAAAAGCCGGCCCCAGUUCAGAUUGAAGGCUGCAAUUCGCCUUCAUGAAGUUGGAAUCGCUAGUAACCGCACAUCAGCCACGGUGCAGUGAAUACGUUCCCGGGUCUUGUACACACCGCCCGUCAAGCCACCUGAGUUAAGUGCACCCGAAGUCGCCAUACCAACCCUUACGGGAGGAAGGCGCCGACGGUGUGCUUAGCGAGGAGGGC